rnacentral:rRNA from 1 species
UACGGAGGGUGCAAGCGUUAUCCGGAAUCAUUGGGUUUAAAGGGUCCGUAGGCUGGUCGGCCAGUCAGUGGUGAAAUGCAGGGGCUCAACUCCGGCACUGCCAUUGAUACUUCCGACCUUGAAUCGUAGUGAAGUGGGCGGAAUAUGUAGUGUAGCGGUGAAAUGCUUAGAUAUUACAUAGAACACCUAUUGCGAAGGCAGCUCACUAACUGCGCAUUGACGCUGAGGGACGAAAGCGUGGGUAGCGAACAGG